CCUGAAGACAAUAAAAGCAAGAAAGGCAGCAAUCGGUCUAAUUUCGAAACUUCAUGCAGUCAGUACAUUCAGAAAGCCUUUGGUUAAAUUCUGCAUAAUUGGUUCCUGCUUAAGACAGAGCUUGCAGGAAUCCAGGAGGAGACAUGGGAGCAGAUAAAGAAUGAGUGGAAGAAACAAAAAACAGACACUCCUGAUUACAAGAACCUGCCAGAAGGGGUUGUACAACCUCCACCUUGGAGUUUGAGAAAUCUAUGCACUCUGAAGAUGCCUGACUUGACCGGGCAGUUUACAGAGGCUCUGAAAGUCAAGUCCAUCUCUGUCUGGCUCAAAU
rnacentral:lncRNA from 1 species